UACGGGGGGGGCAAGCGUUGUUCGGAAUUACUGGGCGUAAAGGGCUCGUAGGCGGCCAACUAAGUCAGACGUGAAAUCCCUCGGCUUAACCGGGGAACUGCGUCUGAUACUGGUUGGCUUGAAUCCGGGAGAGGGAUGUGGAAUUCCAGGUGUAGCGGUGAAAUGCGUUGAUAUCUGGAGGAACACCGGUGGCGAAGGCGGCAUCCUGGACCGGUAUUGACGCUGAGGAGCGAAAGCCAGGGGAGCAAACAGG
rnacentral:rRNA from 1 species